GUAUCACAAAACUGAUCAAAUAUUUUGUCUACACAGAACAAGACAGCCCCCUAGAAAGCACCUCUCCAGGUUUUAUAACCGCUCUCACCAAACACCAAUCAAUCACACAGAUUGUGUGCUUCCAAAAAUACCACAGCACAAUGGGAUAAAUGCAGUAACUUCACUUUAUAUCCUCCAGCAAAAGGAUCCUUCCACAGAUGACUCCUCCAGCAACAGUAUUGGAUCUCCAUCUGAACUUGACAACCCACCAUGCUACACCACUUCCCCCACAUAUACUGAUCCUAUUACUCUUACUGCUGGUUCCCCUGCUCGCAUCUCCCGUAAGCAUACCUGAUGGGUCAUCGGUUUAAACAGUCCACAGUACAACAAACAGAAGGUUACAUGCUCUAUAUUCUACUGCUCCGGAAUGCAAAGUACUCUAGACAUCGUGGAGAGUGUCGUAAAAUGAAGAAAAUGCUGUGAAUUAAACACUGUAACUUAAAUAACAGUUGUUUUAAAGUUUAGUAGCACAGCCUGGAAUGAAAUAUGAGGACAGUUUGACAUUAGAGUCAAAAUGUUUCAGUUUUUAUGAUUUAAAUUUUUUAUUUGGUUUGUUACUCAACACCAUUGCAGUUUGUUACAUGACAAUUCCAGACAAUUCCAGACAUAUAACUGACUUGUUAUCUCUCUGUUAUGUCAAAUUUUCUGUAUACAUAAAAAUACAGAUUACUUUGUGAAAUAAUGUAAAUUAGUAUUUUAGUUCUACUAGAUUGCUUAAUUUAUGUGUAUACAGUGACAAAACCAUGUUGGGGUAGGAUAGGGGGCCAUGGUAUUUGAAUUUUAUACAUACUUUAAUAAAAAUGUAGAAUUAUCAGAAAUUUGUCUUUGUGGUAUUUUGGAAAGACUGACCUGUGCCAGUUGACUUGAACAAGUAGUGUCCUUGUUUGCUUGUCAUUUAUCAUAGAUAGAUUAGUAGAUUUAAUUUUU